GAUGGUAUUUUCUCUUUGACUUGUAGACAGAUAUGUUUUGGCCGUGUACUCACAUUGCCUUUUCUCCAUGCAUGCAGAAAGAGAAAGAAUCCUGGAGUCUCUUUCUUUUCUUAUGAGGACAUCAGUGCUGUCUAAUUCCAUUCUUAUGAGCUCAUUUAACCUUAAUUUCCUCCCUUAAGGACCUAUCUUCAAAUAUAGCCACAUUGGAGUCAGGGUUUCAACACAUGAAUUCUGGGGAAAGACAAUUCAAUCAAUAAUAGAGCUUGCAGGACAAGAACUCAGUCUCAUCACCAUCUAAGAGCUGUUUCAACUGGGCAAUGUUAAUUUCUACUGGUGCAGCUAAGAAGGACUAAGAAGAGAAUUUGAAAGAUAGCUAUGAGCUACAACUUACAGGAUAUUAGAAAGCUUCUCAAUUUGAGAGAAUGACCAAAAUUUUGGACAUUGACACCACU